rnacentral:rRNA from 1 species
CACGUAGGGUGCGAGCGUUGUCCGGAAUUAUUGGGCGUAAAGAGCUCGUAGGCGGUGUGUCGCGUCGGCCGUGAAAACCUGCAGCUUAACUGUGGGCUUGCGGUCGAUACGGGCAUCACUGGAGUUCGGCAGGGGAGACUGGAAUUCCUGGUGUAGCGGUGGAAUGCUGCAGAUAUCGAGGAGGAACACCGGUGGCCGAAGGCGGGUCUUCUGGGCCGAUACUGAC